rnacentral:rRNA from 1 species
UACGUAGGGGGCUAGCGUUGUCCGGAAUCAUUGGGCGUAAAGAGCGUGUAGGCGGCCCGGUAAGUCCGCUGUAAAAGUCAAAGGCUCAACCUUUGAAUGUCAGUGGAUACUGCCGGGCUAGAGUCCGGAAGAGGCGAGUGGGACUCCUGGUGUAGCGGUGGAAUGCGCAGAUAUCAGGAAGAACACCAACGGCGAAGGCAGCUCGCUGGGACGGUACUGACGCUGAGACGCGAAAGCGUGGGGAGCGAACAGG